rnacentral:rRNA from 1 species
GAUGAACGCUGGCGGCGUGCCUAAUACAUGCAAGUCGAGCGAACAGACGAGGAGCUUGCUCCUCUAACGUUAGCGGCGGACGGGUGAGUAACACGUGGAUAACCUACCUAUAAGACUGGGAUAACUUCGGGAAACCGGAGCUAAUACCGGAUAAUAUAUUGAACCGCAUGGUUCAAUAGUGAAAGACGGUUUUGCUGUCACUUAUAGAUGGAUCCGCGCCGCAUUAGCUAGUUGGUAAGGUAACAGCUUACCAAGGCAACGAUGCGUAGCCGACCUGAGAGGGUGAUCGGCCACACUGGAACUGAGACACGGUCCAGACUCCUACGGGAGGCAGCAGUAGGGGAUCUUCCGCAAUGGGCGAAAGCCUGACGGAGCAACGCCGCGUGAGUGAUGAAGGUCUUCGGAUCGUAAAACUCUGUUAUUAGGGAAGAACAAAUGUGUAAGUAACUAUGCACGUCUUGACGGUACCUAAUCAGAAAGCCACGGCUAACUACGUG